CUUCCCACUGUGUAUUGCAUUCUAAAAUGGUGGCCAUGUCUGUCUAGGAUUUCAGCUCGCAGAGACACCAGCCAAACUCACAGCUGCAGACUUUGGUGUUGUUCAACUUGAGGAAACAGUUACCUGUGUUAACGCCGAGCCAGAGCGGGGGCAGGGCCGGGGGGAGGCCGCGGCGGAGCCAGGAGCGGGCGAGGAGAGGUCCCCACAGCCCUCCACCACCACAAUGCCAACAUGGAGGGCAACACCCAGGCAGCUGCCUCCUCCGGGGCUCCGCACCGGGACCGCUCGCCCCCCGCUGCCGCCCGGCGCGGGGCUCCGGCCAACUUGGGUUGAAAACGCCAAGCGCCCCCACGCCCCCCGGCAAGGGCAGAGCUGCCAGCCGGGGCCGCUCAGAGCUGCUGCUGUUCGCAAGCGCAGGACAAACCCGUCACAUCAACUCCGCUUCAGCCAGUUGCUCCCCUGCCGCGGAUGAACACUUCCCACGUGAAAUGUUUAGGCCAAAGAGGAAGUUGUCAGCUAUCUGAACUCCUGCUUGCUCUUAGAAUCAAUAAAAAUGUGUACAAAGCA